CUCAGGUCGAGAAAUGAGUGGAUGCAUGAAGUUCAAAAGAGCAUCACAGAGCAAGGAAAAUAAGUGGUAAUCAUAGAGAAUCAUAAUCAUGCAGAAUCAU